ACGCGCAGAUCUUACAUAUACGGGUCGGGUCGCGCACGGCUAUAGGCCUAUUCGGCGCCGUUUUUGUCUCUGAGCCUAAACCCCAAAACGGCGUCGUUUGGUACCCUUAUUUAACCAAAAAAAAUUUUUAUUAUUCUUUUUUUAAAAAAAAACUUCAGCAACCAAAGUCUCUCUCAACCCCCCCCAUUCCGCCUAUGGUUCCGGCCAUUACUGCCGCCGUAACGCCACCGCGUUCGAUGGCCGGCGUCGCGCGAAGAUCCCUUCUACGACCAGCGUUUUGAAACGCAUUUAAAGGUCGAGUCUUUGAAGCGAGAAAUCGGGGAAAAAAAAAGGUCCUUGGCCCCCUUCGAAUACAGAUCCAGUGGCGGCGAAGGGAUUUCGACGACGGGGCUAUGGGUCGAACGGUUUUUCUUGCAGGUAUGGAGAUCGUGAAAGAGGCGCACGUUCGUGGGUAGAGACGGUUGUCGUUACGUGGGCAGUUGCUGCGGCGCCGAUUUGCUUCAAUCUGCUUAGGGUUUCUUUGACUGUUAUGGGUUUGGGCUUUAGGUUGGGCUGAUGUAAUUAUUUUUUAGGGUCUUUUGUAAUUGGGUUAAUGGAUAUUUUCGUUUUUUUAUUUGAUUUGGGCCCCGGGCAAAAAAAUUGGGUAUUACAAGCACCACAGAUAAGACUAAUGGCAUCAGUUUGAGUUUGAAA